rnacentral:rRNA from 1 species
GAUGAACGCUAGCUACAGGCUUAACACAUGCAAGUCGAGGGGCAGCAUGGUCUUAGCUUGCUAAGGCCGAUGGCGACCGGCGCACGGGUGAGUAACACGUAUCCAACCUGCCGUCUACUCUUGGACAGCCUUCUGAAAGGAAGAUUAAUACAAGAUGGCAUCAUGAGUCCGCAUGUUCACAUGAUUAAAGGUAUUCCGGUAGACGAUGGGGAUGCGUUCCAUUAGAUAGUAGGCGGGGUAACGGCCCACCUAGUCUUCGAUGGAUAGGGGUUCUGAGAGGAAGGUCCCCCACAUUGGAACUGAGACACGGUCCAAACUCCUACGGGAGGCAGCAGUGAGGAAUAUUGGUCAAUGGGCGAGAGCCUGAACCAGCCAAGUAGCGUGAAGGAUGACUGCCCUAUGGGUUGUAAACUUCUUUUAUAAAGGAAUAAAGUCGGGUAUGGAUACCCGUU